rnacentral:lncRNA from 1 species
AGCUACAAGAGCUAUGCGAGAAAACGGAACCUUCUGCAUUACACUUUAAGAAACAGAGCACGAUGUUGUCCCUGUAUAUGCUUUGUGCACUUGCUGUAUUUUGUAAGUGCAGUCCAGUUGAAGGAAAAGUGGCUGAGGGCAAGAGCUUACUGGGCGAAGAUGUCAUAGGUGGGGGUGCUCCAGAACCUUCCAGGAACCUUGCCUUCACAGACAAACUGCUUGUGGAUGAAAAUGUGAUUGCUGACUUCUAUGGUGACAGGCAGAGAGGAUCCACUCGGGGUGGCACGAACCUCGCUUUGGGUCACAUGUUUCCUUUGUUUCUUGGCAAAAGCCCUGACAACAGCAUCUCAGAGUGGAGCACAAAGAAAGAGAUCAGAGAGGUGGAUGACGCUCCCUUUGGACGGCGAGAUUUGGAUGUGCUGAGAUGUAUGGUUGGAAGAGUGUACCGACCCUGCUGGCAGUCUCAAUAAUAUCGUGACCUCCCAGGGAUCAUCAAAGCCCACCAUCACUGUGUGUGUCGUGAAAAACACCCUACCUCUUAUGCCAUUUGUGUAAUGUUUAUUAUGAAUAAGAAAACAAAUAAUGAUCAUGUUUAAUAGACUAAAACAAAAACUUUAAUAAAAACAUGCCUGUGGUCA